AGGGCGACCGGGUCGAUACCACGGGUGACCAUCAGGUAGUCCCGCAUCACGAUGCUGUGACGUCCCUC
rnacentral:sRNA from 1 species